rnacentral:rRNA from 1 species
UGCUACANUGCAGUCGAACGGUGAAGCCAAGCUUGCUUGGUGGAUCAGUGGCGAACGGGUGAGUAACACGUGAGCAACCUGCCCUGGACUCUGGGAUAAGCGCUGGAAACGGUGUCUAAUACUGGAUAUGAGCUCUCAUCGCAUGGUGGGGGUUGGAAAGAUUUUUCGGUCUGGGAUGGGCUCGCGGCCUAUCAGCUUGUUGGUGAGGUAAUGGCUUACCAAGGCGUCGACGGGUAGCCGGCCUGAGAGGGUGACCGGCCACACUGGGACUGAGACACGGCCCAGACUCCUACGGGAGGCAGCAGUGGGGAAUAUUGCACAAUGGGCGGAAGCCUGAUGCAGCAACGCCGCGUGAGGGAUGACGGCCUUCGGGUUGUAAACCUCUUUUAGCAGGGAAGAAGCGAGAGUGACGGUACCUGCAGAAAAAGCGCCGGCUAACUACGUGCCAGCAGCCGCGGUAAUACGUAGGGCGCAAGCGUUAUCCGGAAUUAUUGGGCGUAAAGAGCUCGUAGGCGGUUUGUCGCGUCUGCUGUGAAAUCCCGAGGCUCAACCUCGGGCCUGCAGUGGGUACGGGCAGACUAGAGUGCGGUAGGGGAGAUUGGAAUUCCUGGUGUAGCGGUGGAAUGCGCAGAUAUCAGGAGGAACACCGAUGGCGAAGGCAGAUCUCUGGGCCGUAACUGACGCUGAGGAGCGAAAGGGUGGGGAGCAAACAGGCUUAGAUACCCUGGUAGUCCACCCCGUAAACGUUGGGAACUAGUUGUGGGGACCAUUCCACGGUUUCCGUGACGCAGCUAACGCAUUAAGUUCCCCGCCUGGGGAGUACGGCCGCAAGGCUAAAACUCAAAGGAAUUGACGGGGACCCGCACAAGCGGCGGAGCAUGCGGAUUAAUUCGAUGCAACGCGAAGAACCUUACCAAGGCUUGACAUACACCAGAA